AAAGAGAGAGGACUUUGGAGAAGAAGAGGAAGAACCUAGAAAGGAGAAGGAAAAGCUUGAAUCAAAGCCAAAUACAACCAUUUUCAUCAUCAAUCAUCUUCAUCUACCAAGGUGGCUUCUAGGUAGUUCUACCUUUUGGAAAAAGAAUUCAUGAAAAAUGGGGUUAAGGUUUAAUGAUCUUUUACUUGAUGGUGAAAUUAAUGGCUGGUAUAUGACUAUGAUCAUGUUUUAUGUUAUUGUUGUUAAUUUCAUGAUAAUAUGCUAUGUUUUAGUUGUUAUUUCUUUGAUGCAUUGUUGUGAUCACCAUGAAGUUUAAGUUGAAUUUAAGGUAUGCGAUUAUUGGGUAUGUUAAAAGGUGAUUAUACAUGUCUUAGAGUAGAUAAAAAUUGUAGAAAAUGGAGUUUUA
rnacentral:lncRNA from 1 species